UGCUUCUCGGGCUGUAUGCUGACAGUAAGCUGGAACUGGAGGCAGAGCCAAGACUUGGACCCAAGCCCUGGGAUAAGGUGGAAGAUGUCCUGAGAGGUAUCUUAAGCACUUGGUCCACCCCCACUUCGGCUAAACCGCUAAAGAAGAAGAAGAAAAGGAGUCACCAAGGUCACACAGGUUUAUGUCUUACUGAUUUCCUCAGCCUCUUUUCUUGAUGUCACUUCUCCAGCAGGCAAGCAGCAACUUCUUUCCAUUCUCAUCUUAUGCUACAAACUCAGGAGGGUGGCAUCACUGCCCAGCCACUCUUCUCACGAUAAGCCAGAAACUCAGGAACAGGAAUGGUGUUGUCACAUUCCAAUGGGGCCAUCACCUACCUUCACACGUCCUCCCAGUAUGAAGACAUGGGACAUCUGGGAGCUGCAAACACAAGGUUAAAUGGCAUUUGUGUGAUUUCUCAAGUCAUAGGAACACCUGGCACAAAGUUCCCAAGUCCCUUGGGAUGUUCUGAAUGUCAGGAGCCUCCUUUGGUUCUAACCGGAUUCCUGAUAAGCUCCUAGAUGGGCAUGAAGGGCAGCAAGCACUAACUUCCAUUAAGGAGUAGAAGCUAAGAGUGUUGAGUCCCGCUCUGCCUUCUCUGAAGAGUCCAUAAUCUGUUACACCUACGUGACAAUGCCCCAUCAAAAUCCUGAAAGUACAAUGCUCCAGGGGCCUUCUGGGUUGGCAAACACAACUACAGGCUGGGCAGGGGCAGUGUAUCCAACUCCAAGAGGACAGCAGGACCUCUCCAUUUGGAUGUUCAUCUGCAUCCCUUAUCUUAUCAUUACAAUUAUUUAGUUAGUUAGUUUAGAGCACCAGAGGCAAAUACAAAGUGAACUCCCGCCCGCUGAUUCACUCCCCAAAUACCCAGAACACCAAACCUGGGCCAGCCUGGAGCCAGAUUGAAAGCAGAGAAGCUGUGUGACUCAAUCCAGAUGUGUUGAUAUGGGAUGCAGGUGUCUCAAGUGGUAAGCUUACUAGCCACACCAAAAGCCUGCUCCAAUGCCCAUCAUUCAGAAUCAAGUUUGCUCAAUGUUGUACUCCACUUGGCCUCCUUGUCCUUGAGCACUCGGGCGCCUAGGCAAGGAUUCUGGAAGACAGGCCCUCCCAGGGCUGGCUCAGCAACUUGCUGGAGC